GGGAAUCUUCCACAAUGGACGCAAGUCUGAUGGAGCAACGCCGCGUGAGUGAAGAAGGCUUUCGGGUCGUAAAACUCUGUUGUUGGAGAAGAAUGGUCGGCAGAGUAACUGUUGUCGGCGUGACGGUAUCCAACCAGAAAGCCACGGCUAACUACGUGCCAGCAGCCGCGGUAAUACGUAGGUGGCAAGCGUUAUCCGGAUUUAUUGGGCGUAAAGCGAGCGCAGGCGGUUUUUUAAGUCUGAUGUGAAAGCCCUCGGCUUAACCGAGGAAGCGCAUCGGAAACUGGGAAACUUGAGUGCAGAAGAGGACAGUGGAACUCCAUGUGUAGCGGUGAAAUGCGUAGAUAUAUGGAAGAACACCAGUGGCGAAGGCGGCUGUCUGGUCUGUAACUGACGCUGAGGCUCGAAAGCAUGGGUAGCGAACAGGAUUAGAUACCCUGGUAGUCCAUGCCGUAAACGAUGAAUGCUAGGUGUUGGAGGGUUUCCGCCCUUCAGUGCCGCAGCUAACGCAUUAAGCAUUCCGCCUGGGGAGUACGACCGCAAGGUUGAAAC
rnacentral:rRNA from 1 species